AUUGAACGCUGGCGGCAGGCUUAACACAUGCAAGUCGAGCGGGGGAAGGUAGCUUGCUACCGGACCUAGCGGCGGACGGGUGAGUAAUGCUUAGGAAUCUGCCUAUUAGUGGGGGACAACAUCACGAAGGGGAUGCUAAUACCGCAUACGUCCUACGGGAGAAAGCAGGGGAUCUUCGGACCUUGCACUAAUAGAUGAGCCUAAGUCGGAUUGGCUAGUUGGUGGGGUAAAGGCCUACCAAGGCGACGAUCUGUAGCGGGACUGAGAGGAGGAUCCGCCACACGGGGACUGAGACACGGCCCAGACUCCUACGGGAGGCAGCAGUGGGGAAUAUUGGACAAUGGGGGGAACCCUGAUCCAGCCAUGCCGCGUGUGUGAAGGAGGCCUUAUGGUUGUAAAGCACUUUAAGCGAGGAGGAGGCUACUUUAGUUAAUACCUAGAGAUAGUGGACGUUACUCGCAGAAUAAGCACCGGCUAACUCUGUGCCAGCCGCCGCCGUAA
rnacentral:rRNA from 1 species